rnacentral:lncRNA from 1 species
CACCUUCACCUUCAAGACCGCCCCACCUUUCCAUCAUCCCACUGGAAACUGGAAAACCCAGUUUUAUUCUCCCGCUCCUGCAGCUGGUGGCCCAGGUGACCAGAAAACCCUUCCAGAGGGGGACAACCCUGGACUCUUGACACAUGUCCAUUACCUGUUGGCUUCCAGGAGGAGCAGGAUAUCCAGCCAACUGCUGGGGGCAGGCAGACAUGUCCAUUACCUGUCGGCUUUCAGGAGUAGGAUAUCCAGCCAACUGCUGGGGGCAGGCAGUAGCUAACUCAUUAAUCAGUAUUUUAACCCUUUAUUUAGGCACAUUUAGCCCUUUAUUUAAGCUUCACAGAAGCUGCUGAUGCCAUCCGCGUUGCUCCUCUGCAGAGGAACACCCACCCCCUGGCAGCAGACCUGGGGUUCACACCAUUAACCACUCUGGGUUUUCAGCCCUUAAUGUUUAAUAUAAAGGUUUAUCUGGCCCCAAAACUUUUUAUCACCUGCUCCUAGCCCAGCCCGAGCAGCAAGUAACAUGGGUCUGAGGUGGGUUUCUGCACCUCUCACCAUCAUACUCAGGAGAGGAGACACGAUUAUCCCACAGGAAUCCCACUUCUGACUCCAACUGAGAGGCACCUGUAGGAGUAUCCACAAUUUCUUUCACAUUCCAGCACUAACGAGGCAAAUCACUCACAAAGAAAUGCACAUCGAGCCAAAAAUAGUUACGUUUAUUUAAUUCUCUCCCACAGCUAGGCAUACAUUUACAAUCAAUCAAUAUUUUGUUUUGUUUUAUUUCCGUAACACAGAUGGACAAAUUCCUGCUCAUGCCCACGUCCCAUGUGCUGUCCCCUCUGCUACUACUAAUACAAUCAAUCAAUAUUUUAAGGUUUUGUUUCCAUAACACAGAUGGACAAAUUCCUGCUCGUGCCCACAUCCCAUGUGCUGUCCCCUCUGCUACUACUAAUUCCCCCUGGAAUGUCCUCCCCACGCUGGAGCCAACUCACACCUUCCCUGGCAGCUGGUACCACGGGUGGCCCCACUGCUGGGGGGGGACGUGGGUCCACAGACCAGCUGGUGGCAAGUCCAAGUCCACACAUGGCUUCUUUUUCUUGCUUUUUCAUACCCCGGGCUCCCACCCUUUGAGAACACCCCAAAGGCAGCUCCUUCCUGGUGGGCCAGCCAUCUAGGGUGGCUUUUUUCUUUUUUCGUGGUGCCUUUAAGGCAACACCAAAUUCACCCCAGCCCCAUGGCUUUAUUGGCUUUCCCAUUCAGCAGCUGCACAACCCACCACAGAAUCAGGCCUUUUAUUCUCAUUUGUGGGGAUCUUCCAGCCCGUUCUCAUCUCUGGGGCUACAUUUUGACUCCAGAUACCGCAUGAACUGACCCUUAGCUAUCACCUCCAUUUAUUACUGGGGCCAAUUCUCUCAAUAUACUCACCCUCUCCCACUAGACACAUGGAUUCUUUUCUGUUGUCAGCAUCUCGAUGCAAUCAGGCACCAGUAUCUGCAACAAUUAAGAAAAAAAAAUAAUAAAAUUUAGCUUCUGCUCGGUGAGAAGCA